rnacentral:lncRNA from 1 species
AAAGACUGUUAUUGUGAUGGCUGACAAGAAGAUAGGGGGAAAGAGCAAAGCCUUACUUAUGUUGGCCGUGUUUGGCAUCCAUUUUCAUGAAUGCUGGAGGAUCAGCCAUAGGACAGGGGCACGCUGGGACUGUUAUGAAGAGCGAUUUCUGCAGAAGAAAGCAGUCUGUGGGGAUGAAAUGAAAGAAUAAAAGAAAAAAAGGGGGGCCUGCCUGAGGGAAAAUAGGUGGUCUACAAACUCUGGAAAACAGAAGAGUGUCUUGUCUGAGGUAACAGCAAUCAGUCCUGCAUCAAGAUUAAAACCUGACUUCAACCCUUGACCGUUUGCUAAAAAGUUUCAUUUGGGGGAUAUCCCCUUCAGGAAUAUGAUGGGGUGAAUAUGUCAGGAUAAUGUCAUCUAACCUGAGGGUCAUAUUUUCCUGUAAAUAAAGGGUUUCCUUUAAGCUGGGACUUUUUUGCU